rnacentral:antisense_RNA from 1 species
UUUCCCAGGAAUGCUCUCGGAACUGGACCUUGAUGAAGGAAAUACUCACUUUCUGACUCACUGGAAUUUGUUAUAGUCAAAACAUGCUCUUCUGAAAUCUACAGGUGUUUCCAGACCUAAGAAUAACGGGAACAUGGAGGAGUGGCAUCUCCAGUGUAGCCACCCACCAAAGCCUCAUCCCGAACACUAUGGCCUAAUGGGUCACUUACAGGGAUGUAGCUGGCAUUGAUGUAGUCAGAGCAAGGAUCAUCAUCUACAUUGGAGAGCUUCACUCGCGUGGCAUCAUCUGGAAGGAGAGAUUUGCUGCUGAGUCUUGGAGUGACUUUUCUACAGUUUAUGUGAUGUGUGUGAUGUGCCUUAGCUCUGAUCCCCACAACAGCCACAGAUGGGAAGUGAUCUUAUCUCCAUUUUGCAGAUGAGGCUCAGACAGGAUAACUAACUUGCCCCACGUUGCAUAGGUGGCCUAUAACCAGUCAGACACAGGAGACAACAUGAAGCCCCAUCUGUGCUUCCCUUUCCAACAUUACCACAUUUGCCUGAUGGAGUGGCCAGCU